rnacentral:rRNA from 1 species
AUUCCAGCUCCAAUAGCGUAUAUUAAAGUUGUUGCAGUUAAAAAGCUCGUAGUUGGAUUUCGGAAUGGGUCAGUUGGUCCGCCUCACGGUGUGUUACUGACUGGUCUGUUCUUCUUCGCAAAGACUGUGUAUUCUCUUCAUUGAGUGUGCUCAGGAUUUACGACGUUUACUUUGAAAAAAUUAGAGUGUUCAAAGCAGGCCUACCGCUUGAAUACAUGAGCAUGGAAUAAUGGAAUAGGACUUUGGUCUUAUUUUGUUGGUUUCUAAGACCGAAGUAAUGAUUAAGAGGGACAGUUGGGGGCAUUAGUAUUUCGUUGUCAGAGGUGAAAUUCUUGGAUUUACGAAAGACUAACAACUGCGAAAGCAUUUGCCAAGAAUGUUUUCAUCA